AAGUCAUUAGAUUAGUUGGUUAAAUCAUAAAUCUUACACAUUUAAAAGAUAGGUUCAAGUCCUAUAUGACUUA